CAGGGAGUCCGGAGGAAAGAACUCGUGGGGAAGAAUAUGAGCAGGGACCAUAGGAGGUAGAACAGAAAGUAAUUGGAAGAGAAUACUUUUUUGGAACGCAGGAUAAAUCACUAGCACACCUAUAAAAAGCCUGGCCAGCCAGGCAGAUACAUCGUAAUGUUUAUCACAGUAUUCCACAUUCCCCAAAACACACACAACCCCCCUUCCCUCCCCCCGCCAGAGAUUCAGCAAUAGAUACUGAUUGUGCCAUAUCCUGAUACUGGAGUUAUUUGUCAGCUAUUUUCAGCCUAAUAUCAG